ACUCCUACGGGAGGCAGCAGUAGGGAAUCUUCCACAAUGGGCGCAAGCCUGAUGGAGCAACACCGCGUGAGUGAAGAAGGGUUUCGGCUCGUAAAGCUCUGUUGUUAAAGAAGAACACGUAUGAGAGUAACUGUUCAUACGUUGACGGUAUUUAACCAGAAAGUCACGGCUAACUACGUGCCAGCAGCCGCGGUAAUACGUGGGUGGCAAGCGUUAUCCGGAUUUAUUGGGCGUAAAGAGAGUGCAGGCGGUUUUCUAAGUCUGAUGUGAAAGCCUUCGGCUUAACCGGAGAAGUGCAUCGGAAACUGGAUAACUUGAGUGCAGAAGAGGGUAGUGGAACUCCAUGUGUAGCGGUGGAAUGCGUAGAUAUAUGGAAGAACACCAGUGGCGAAGGCGGCUACCUGGUCUGCAACUGACGCUGAGACUCGAAAGCAUGGGUAGCGAACAGGAUUAGAUACCCCUGGUAGGAUAGCG
rnacentral:rRNA from 1 species